rnacentral:tRNA from 1 species
GGGGAUUUGGCUCAGCGGCAUAAGCGCCUGCCUUGAAAGCAGGCAGUAGGGAGCAACAAGAAAGGCUCCUCAGUCCCCA